CAGUGAGCCAAGAUCGCGCUAUUGUACUCCAGCUUGGGCAACAAGAGCGAAACUUCGUCUCAAAAAACAAAACAAAACAACAACAACGACAAAACAAUACUCAAGGGGUGUGGGCCUUUUGGGCAGAGCAGGAAGAUCUGCCUAUGACUUCUGCUUACCACUUCCCAGGCCUCCUGUGUCACCUGGAUGACGCCUGUGUCAGCAACCCCUGCCACGAGGAUGCUAUCUGUGACACAAAUCCGGUGAACGGCCGGGCCAUUUGCACCUGUCCUCCCGGCUUCACGGGUGGGGCAUGUGACCAGGAUGUGGACGAGUGCUCUAUCGGUGAGGGGAGCUCCAUCGUCUGUGAAU
rnacentral:lncRNA from 1 species